CAUGCACCGGUGGGGUCCCUCGGCCCGGCCUGCACCCUCUUGCAAUCCAGGACCCCUUGGGGGAUGUCGGAGAGUCCGUUUCAGCCUGAUCCCUGCAGGCCAGGCCGAGGGACCCCACCGGUGUGUC
rnacentral:pre_miRNA from 1 species